AAAACUAAAAGCCGGCUUUUUUUACUUAAAGCCGGCUUAAAGCCGGCAGAGCGAUCCCGGGCUAUAUACCCGGAUAGCCGGCUUAUUAAACCGGGUCAAACUUAAAAAAAACGGGCCGGGUCGAAGCUCUCGGAAGGUCAAUCCGAAGGCGACUCUGUUUUGGUGCUUGGGUGCGAUGGAUUGGGAUUUAGCGAGAAAGGGACAGGCAGGAGGACACACGCCGCGGCGGCGACGCGUCUCCGGUGUAGAGGAGCGGGAGGAGCUGUAGAGGCCGGUUCCGCGAGUGAAGAGGCCGGGAGGAGGUGUAGAGGAGCGGAGGUGGGGUAGGUGAAGGACAGCUUCUGACGCCGUUGCCUCGAGCCGCCGACGCCGGGAAGAGGUUCUGACGUCGUACCACGAGCCGCCGACGCCGUUGCCUCGACUACCUCGCGCUCGGCUGGUCAAGUUGCCUCCGUCAUCGUGCCCCGUCGCCGUCGUCGUACCUCCCGCAGGCGAACUGACCUUUCUCUUACAUAAACAACUAUCACUCUCACUCCUAUUACUACCCCACUCACUCCUACCCCUUCUACGAGGUAGGUACGUACUAGUCGUUCUCCGCGUUUACGUUCACCUUUUUCUCUGUGUUUAAGUUCAUCUUUUCCUGCGUGGAGGUUCUCUACCGUUAAACCUCUGGGCAUCUAGACAUGCCGAACAGUUCUUCUUCUGGUUCCCGCAGUUGUCGGAUAGGGGACAACGAAUCUUUAGACAACCGUUCAGAGAAGAAAGAUCACAAAAUACUAAGUACUAUUAACGAAUCUUUUAAAAUCAAUGAACCUCGGCGAUCAAAGAAUCUACAUAUGUGAAAGAUAGGUACGGAUCGGAAGCAACAGUACAAUUCGUUACAUAAAUACAAUAGGACUUUACAAUGGUGAACUGAUAACAACGUGAUCUGUGGAGGUACAAUCAGGUAAAAUAAAGUAAUACGUGUUUCACCUUCUUCUUUUAAGACUACAACUUGAUGUAGGUAGGACUAAAAGGAAAACAUACUGUUAACUGUUUACCGAUCAGGUUCGGUUGUCACCCGACAAACACAGAUACAACAAAAGAAACAUAGGAAUCUCAAAACAACACGAGCUCAUUUUUAACAUUUGAUCUUAAGUAGUAAGAUCAUAUACCUCCGUAAAUUGGAAACGAGGACUUCGAAAAACCACUUAUUUUUUGAUAUAAUGACAUCAUCUAAACAAUAAACUAAGUACUCGUACGUAUUUAAACUGAUAACAAGAUGAUCGGUGAACAGGACAAUCAGGUAAAAUAAAAAUUACGUGUUUCACCGUCUUCUAUUAAGGCUACGUCUUGAUGGAGGUAGGACUGGGAAGGAGACAAAAGAGAUUUGGUAUUUACUGUGAACUUCUUAUUGAUUCCUAUAGUUCUUCGAAAACCUACAUCCGUUCGAACCUCGACGACAAAGUUACAGUAUGAAACUAUCAACGGAAAACCUCGACAACAAAGAUACACAUUAUGAAAUUCAGACAACCGACAUGGCCUGAUAAAUUUGAGACUUGAUACGACACUACCAACUUGACUACAACCUGACAAUUCCCAAUACAACCUCCGGUGAAAUAUUGAUUACACACGGACAAUACAACCUGUCUACGUCAAAAUAAUUAGGGAUCUCGAAUAAACGACUUUAAAUGUACUAGUUUGGACUACCAACAACGCGACGAUAUAAACACCGGACAAAAUAAAGUUUAGAACAAACUUAAAGCCGGUUUAAAGCCGGUUUAAAAGUUUAAAACUAAAACUUUAAAGCAGGCUCUAAAACGGCUUUUUAAAUUUUAAGGGCUUUAAGCCGGUAAAGCCGGUUCCUGCUUUUUUUUGUGUUUGGCUUUUAGUUUUGUGUCCAAACUCUACCUACCUUACGAGCCGUACAGAUCGAAAUUACUGUUUCGCUGUUUGUAACUAUAGACCCACAAUGUCCUGAUACUUUCGCUCCAGACCUGGAAGUUUACGGUGUAACUUAACGGCGAAUGUCUCUAAUCCCGCAGCACACCUUUUGCGCUGCUGCUACUGAGAACCCUUUGCCAGCGCGGACCCCUACCACUCAACGAACACGACCAGUUUAAAGGACUGACCGAUCAAGUCCAACUGUACCUACCGUUCAACCAGCGGUGAAAGUUAGUGUGUCCACAGCUUGGAUGAGUUGACGUCGAGUUUGUUUCAGAACAAGGCGUACUGAAGAAAGGUAGCGAUGUACCAAUACAACACUUACCAACCGGAAAGUGGACU
rnacentral:rRNA from 1 species